rnacentral:lncRNA from 1 species
UUUUUUUUUUUUUCCAUGGUAACCCAAAGAGGUCAGAGUCGUGGAACUGUUUACAGGAAGGGUAUGCAAAGGAGAAGAGAGAGCCACAUCUAUCUUUGGUACCUUUUGUACAAACACCUAGUUAUAAAAAUAAUUGAGUCAUGGGGAAGUAACACACAGGGAACAGAAACAGAGAGACACAGAGACCGAGACCGGUGCCUUUUGUACCAACUCAUAGUUACAAAAUAAUUAAGUCAUAAAAUCAUUAAGUAAUGCACAGAAAAAAAAGGGGGGAGAGAGGGAGAAAGAGAGAGAAAGAGAAUUUCAUUUCUACCUUUGGUACUUUUGCACAAACACCUAGUUAUAAAAUAAAUACAUGGAAAUGUCAUAUGCAGAAGAAGAAACAAUGUCAUUUGUAGAACGAUAAUGUGAAGACAUACAUUUCUUAGAGAUUUGGAGAUAAUUAUUGUUGUGGGGUCAGGAGGGGGAUUUCUGACAGAUAAUUUCCAUGUAUACAAAUAUACAUACAUACACACCUAUGUACAGGACUGUAAAAAUUACAGUACGAGGCAUGUCUCCACCUCCCCAUUUUUUAAUCUUUAACAUCACAUUUCUGGACCCGGGGCUGUGAAACACAAAAUGAAACAGCUCCUGUCCGACGGGCCAACACUCUGCUGCUCACAGAUAUGUGUAAUGUCCAACUGGGAUUUUCAUGUUUUACAUCAGCUGAGCUAAUUCACCAUUUUCAGAGAGGGUGUUUGAAUGUGGUUAGGGAGUCAAUCCUUCUUGUGAUGAGGAAGUUAUCAGAAAUCACAAAAGGACACUCUCUUCAUGGAUACAAGUACGUUAUCUUUAUGGGCACAAGUAUUUCCAACUUAAGAACAAUAAUAAUUUGGCUCUCGACCUAUCAUUUUGAAACUCUGAAGUCAGGGAUACGAAUCUCCUUAGGACAAGAUAAACACACAGUUGAAGCCCACUGUAAUAAAUGCCACAAUUAAAUACGUUGAGAACUGGAGUUCCCAUCAUUGCUCAGUGGUUAGUGCAUCUGACUGGGAACCAUGAGGAUGCGGGUUCGACCCCUGGCCUCACUCAGUGGGUGAAGGAUCCAGUGUUGCUGUGAGCUGUGGUGUAGGUCGCAGACAUGGCUGGGAUCCUGCAUUGCUGUGACUCUGGCGUAGGCUGGCAGCUACAGCUCCAAUUAGACCCCUAGCCUGGGAACCUCCGUAUGCUGCGGAUGUGGCCCUAGAAAAAGACAACAACAACAACAAAAAUGUUGAGACCAAAAAACUCUGAAACAUGAAUGCACAUAAAAUAGAGCUCACAAAACUUCCCAAGGCAUCAUCAGUUUGGGAUUUUGAUCAGAUUUCAUUGGCACAUAUGUUGUAACUUCUUUAGAUAAAAACUUAAGCAUAUAUGAGUUUGUAAUGACAUUUGUAAUAAAAAAUAACUGUAAGCUCCUUUCAAGCAAGGGCUUUAGGAACAGUUCAGUUUUGAAUGCAUGCAUGAAAAAAUGUUUGAAAAUGCACAUGAUGCAUGUGUCAAAGGAGGCUGGGGUUACAUAUCAAAUAUUGCACAUUCGUGCAUACUGGUUAAAGGACUAGUGCUUUCAUGUUAAAUGUUAGACAAAUCAAGUGAGUCUAUUUUAAAGUUAUGAAAAUAUGAACGAUUCUUGAUUUGUUCUUGGUUUAACGCUAACAUUUACUGCGUUUUAAACAUCUUUGGAACCUGAAAACACUUAAUGGCUAAGCGAAAGAAGCCAGUGUGAAAAGGCACCACACGGUAAUCCACAACUACACGACUUUGUAGAAAAGGCAAAACUGUGGAGACUGGGAAAAAAAAAAAUCAGUGAUCGCCAGGGGCGAAGGUGGGGAAGGGAUAACAGGCAGAGCACAGAGGAUUUUUAGGGCAGUGAAACUAUUCCACUGCUCUUGUAAUGAUGGGUAC